UCCAUCAGUCCUAUGAAAAACAGGAAAAAAAGAAAGAAAGAAAAUAGUGUGCGUUCAAUAUGUUUUCGCUUAUAGAAUUUGACAGGUUUGAGGUGAGGAGAAAGAGAGGAGAAGAAACGCACAAAAAAAUUGGCAGAGAAGAACUGCUAGCGCGUGGCUAAAAGAUUCGAGUGCAACCGAGUCAAGCUGAAUUACACAAGUUUACACAUGGCUGGCAUCUGAAAUGUGAGUAAGGGUUGGCAUCAUGUCUUCUCAGCUGUUCUGAAUCCAGACUGAAGCUUGUGUAAAUCCUGUGGCAAAAACAGAGAAACAAAUAGAGACAUAAUUAGCGUAGCUGCUGUUCUAACAAAGUAAAAUUAAUUAGUUUAACCCAAGCUAAAGAAUAAUAAUGCACAUCUGAUCAGAUAUAACUGCAGUCCAAGAUUAUGAGAUGGAUUAUUCGAAUGCUUGGUGAAAGAGAUGUGUUUUUAAUCUAGAUUUAAACAGAGAGAGUGUGUCUGAACCCCGAACAUUAUCAGGAAGGCUAUUCCAGAGUUCGGGAGCCAAAUGUGAAAAAGCUCUACCUCCUUUAGUGGACUUUGCUAUCCUAGGAACUACCAAAAGUCCAGCGCUUUGUGACCUUAGGGAGCGUGAUGGAUUGUAGCGUAGAAGACUAGUUAGGUACGCAGGAGCUAAACCAUUAAGGGCCUUGUAGGUAAGUGAUAAUAUUUUGUAGCUGAUAUGGAACUUUAUACUG